AUGGGGCUGGGGACUGUGAAGGCGGAGGAGGAGGAGGAAAAGGAGGAAGCUGCAGCCAUAGACAAGGCGGAGGAGGAGGCGGGCCCAGCCCAUGAAAAUGACAAGGAGGAGUCGCCAGCCAGCGACCGGGCUGAGCACGAAGACAAGCCUGCCCCCAAGGUGGACGGGACGGACGAUGAAAGCUUGUGGAGCAUUGUGAGUCUGUGUGGCAGCAACCACGAAGAAAGUGAUACAGGUAAGAACAGCUCUCAGGUAGGGGCCAGUGGGAGAGGGUUCGCGGGACACUUGGGUUAUGCCUGCUGCUUGGAGGGUGGGGCGGGUGAGUCUGCAAUUGAAAAACAGAAAGAAAUUGGUGUAAAGAUGUUCGUCGCCUAUUUUCCUAA
rnacentral:lncRNA from 1 species